AAACUAACCAGGAUUCCCUCAGUAACUGCGAGUGAAGCGGGAUCGGCUCAAUGUGUGAAUCUGGCUUGGGGUACAUCCCGGGUCCGAGUUGUGCACUAUGGAUGCUUCGUCUGCGUUUGUAAAGGCAGUGGAAGUCCGUUGAAACACGGCACCUCAGAGGGUCACAGUCCUGUACCAUCUGUCUGCACUCGCGCCAAUGACAAGUGCUCCUCGAGUCGCGUAGUUUUGUAAUGCUGCGCCAAGUGGGAGGUAGAGACCUUCUAAGGCUAAAUAUGAUGACGUGACCGAUAGCACACAAGUACCGCGAGGGAAAGGUGAAAAGCAACCAUGAAAAAUGGGUUGAAACAGUAGUGAAAUCGCUACCGGGAUAAGGGCUAUCGGGUGCUGGGGCUCUUUGGGUGUGCUUUAGUGCUACCCUCCGAGACGGCCCGCGAGGGUUGAUGUUGGGGCGAUAGACGCGCUGCAGGAAUUCGGCUGCCUUUGGGCAGUGUUGUAGCCUGCGGUUGCUGAUCCUCCUGCGACCUUGUGUGAUUGCGGGUCUUGCGACCGUUAGCCGC
rnacentral:rRNA from 1 species